AUUUAGGGGAGGAGUCCAGCGCGCAGCCAGACACCCUUUGUGAACUUAUACCUUACUGUUGCCUCGGCGCAGGCUGGUCCCCCCGUGGGACCCCUCGGCAACGAGGAGCGGCCGGCCGGCGGCCAAGUUAACUCUUGUUUUUAACUGAAACUCUGAGAAAAAAACACAAAUGAAUCAAAACUUUCAACAACGGAUCUCUUGGUUCUGGCAUCGAUGAAGAACGCAGCGAAAUGCGAUAAGUAAUGUGAAUUGCAGAAUUCAGUGAAUCAUCGAAUCUUUGAACGCACAUUGCGCCCUCUGGUAUUCCGGAGGGCAUGCCUGUUCGAGCGUCAUUUCAACCCUCAAGCCCAGCUUGGUGAUGGGGCACUGCCUGUGAAAGGGCAGGCCCUGAAAUCCAGUGGCGAGCUCGCCAGGACUCCGAGCGCAGUAGUUAAACCCUCGCUAUGGAAAGUUCUGGUGCGGCCCUGCCGUAAAACACCCAACUUCUGAAAAAUUGACCUCGGAUCAGGUAGGAAUACCCGC
rnacentral:rRNA from 1 species